UUGGUAACGGUCUAUAUUUAUUAGAUUACGAAGCGACCCACGCUUUAUUUUAAGCCCGUACUCGGCUACAAUAUUGAACAUGAGCAAUAAAUUAUCCGAAAUGGGUGGAGAGGAGGAAACAAUAAACGUUGUGAGGGCGGGUUGCGCGAGUGCGCAUGUGUGUGCGCUCCUGUCCUUAUUUACAGGUGUAUGUGUGAGUGUACGUGUUUGCGUGUGUGUGUGUGUGUGUGUGUUGUGUGUGUGUGUGAGCGACACAAAACUUUUGUGAAAGAUUGUAAAGAAGCCAAAGCGAAUUCCAAUCAAGGAUUGAGAAUUUGUAUCGCUCUAUAAAUAUUCCGUACAUUUCGGAAGAAUCUUCAUUUAGAUCAGAAUUCUCCUCUCAACAUGUCUCUUCGGCUCAGUCUAUUUCUCCUUUCUGCUGUAAUUCUUUUAUCAAUAGCAAAUGCAGCAAAAUGCAGCAGACAUAAUCUCCAUGCAUGUCUCGGGGGAAAUGGUAAAAGAAGUUCGAUGGAUGUGUCAAACCGUGACGAACAGUUGAUGAAAAUCCUUUCAAGAGGAUUAGAUCAACGGGCCAUACGCAGUGAAAUUGAUGACGACACAGUUCUUCCCCUAGAAAAGUCUUACGAACGAGCAGUGAAACAGAACGAUUUUUCACCCGUAAUUAAGAGACUGGUAAUGAAUUAAUACAUUAUAAAUAGACGUCGAAACAAUGAUAAGUUAUAGAAAAAAAACAAAAACAAAGGAAUGGUUUGAGACCCGUGCGAAAAUCAUUUUGUCUGAAGAAUCGCAGAACUGAAAAAAGACGAAAACGAACACAAAAACCAACCAAUACCGAAACAAAAAAUUCAACAAAAAACAAAACUACAACUCACAUCAAUAAAAUAAUAAAAUUUUAAAAAAAUAAUUAUGAUAUCAUGAAUAUGAACUUCUUUUCCUUUCUUCCUUCGUUACUUUUCCAUUACAUUGUAUUUACAGGGACUGAUUGAUUCAACGCCAUUUUACGUUACGAAACAUUCUACAAUUUAGCCAAAAUAUGACGAUAAAGCCACAUCAAAUAUUGCACUACAGUUAAUAAUAAUAAUAAUAAUAAUAAUAAUAAUAAUAAUAAUAAUAAUAAUAAUAAUAAUAAUAAUAAUAAUAAUAAUAAUAAUAAGGCCACAAUAGCUGAGAAAGUUUCUAAGAUCCAGAUGGAAACUCUAGCACCAUAAGAGAAAAGAAAAAUC